rnacentral:miRNA from 1 species
GCAUGGUGGGGAUAGGGUGGGGUUGUCCAUAAAAUCUACUGGAAAACUUCCUCGCCUUCUCCUGAUAU